ensembl:lncRNA LINC01002 long intergenic non-protein coding RNA 1002
CCAUGUUGGCCGGGCCAGUCUCGAACUCCUGACGUCAAGUGAUCUUCCCGCCUCGACUCCUGAUAUCAAGUGAUCUUCCCGCCUCGGCCUCCCAGAGUGCUGAGAUUACAGACGUGAACCCAUGCCUGGCCAGGAAUUUUGUUUUUUAGGAAGGCUUUCUACUAAUGGAAUUCCUGGCCUUGAGAGGAUGUUACUUUAGAAGGAAAGGAUUUUUUUGUUAUUAAAAGAGCCACCUAAGCUGAAGAUUCCCUUGAGAACAAGUACUGUCCCUAGUUUCCCAGUGCUGGAAUAUAGAAAAUGGAUGGACAAGUAAAUCCCACUCAGCACCCAUAGUCCCGGCAUGGGGACCUCAACACACCUGAG